rnacentral:rRNA from 1 species
CCUACGGGUGGCAGCAGUGGGGAAUAUUGGACAAUGGGCGAAAGCCUGAUCCAGCCAUGCCGCGUGUGUGAAGAAGGCCUUUGGAUUGUAAAGCACUUUCAGUGGGGAAGAAAGCCUUGGGGCUAAUACCCUCGAGGAAGGACAUCACCCACAGAAGAAGCACCGGCUAACUCCGUGCCAGCAGCCGCGGUAAUACGGAGGGUGCGAGCGUUAAUCGGAAUUACUGGGCGUAAAGCGCGCGUAGGCGGUCUGAUAAGCCGGUUGUGAAAGCCCCGGGCUCAACCUGGGAACGGCAUCCGGAACUGUCAGGCUAGAGUGCAGGAGAGGAAGGUAGAAUUCCCGGUGUAGCGGUGAAAUGCGUAGAGAUCGGGAGGAAUACCAGUGGCGAAGGCGGCCUUCUGGACUGACACUGACGCUGAGGUGCGAAAGCGUGGGUAGCAAACAGGAUUAGAUACCCCUGUAGUC